AACGAACGCUGGCGGCAUGCCUAACACAUGCAAGUCGAACGAGACCUUCGGGUCUAGUGGCGCACGGGUGCGUAACGCGUGGGAACCUGCCCUUAGGUUCGGAAUAACUCCCCGAAAGGGGUUCUAAUACCGGAUAAUGUCUUCGGACCAAAGAUUUAUCGCCUUUGGAUGGGCCCGCGUUGGAUUAGCUAGUUGGUAGGGUAAAAGCCUACCAAGGCGACGAUCCAUAGCUGGUCUGAGAGGAUGAUCAGCCACACUGGGACUGAGACACGGCCCAGACUCCUACGGGAAGCAGCAGUGGGGAAUAUUGGACAAGGGGCGAAAGCCUGAUCCAGCAAUGCCGCGUGAGUGAUGAAGGCCUUAGGGUUGUAAAGCUCUUUUACACGGGAUGAUAAUGACAGUACCGGGAGAAUAAGCUCCGGCUAACUCCGUG
rnacentral:rRNA from 1 species